UGGAUCAAUGACUCUGAUGCCUGCUUCUCUUCCUGCUUGAUUGCUGCAGGUGCUGGCAUUUGAAGCGGGGAGAAAACAUAAAGUAAGAGUGAACACAAUUUCUGCAGUUCCAUUGAGAAAUCGUGCUGCAAAAGCAGUUGGUUUUAUGAGCGAAACCAUCAAGUACUCUAUACAAAAUGCACCGUUGCAGAAAGAACUAUCUGCUGAGGAGGUGGGAAAUGCUGCUGCAUUCCUGGCAUCGCCUUUGGCAUCUGCCAUCACCGGCACUGUCCUUCACGUGGAUAACGGUCUCCACGCGAGGGGAGUCGGAGUUGACAGCCCAAUAGUCGAGGAUCUUGAUAUUCCAAAAGCUAAGU